rnacentral:rRNA from 1 species
UACGAAGGGGGCUAGCGUUGCUCGGAAUCACUGGGCGUAAAGGGUGCGUAGGCGGGUCUUUUAAGUCAGGGGUGAAAUCCUGGAGCUCAACUCCAGAACUGCCUUUGAUACUGAAGAUCUUGAGUUCGGGAGAGGUGAGUGGAACUGCGAGUGUAGAGGUGAAAUUCGUAGAUUGUCGCAAGAACACCAGUGGCGAAGGCGGCUCACUGGCCCGAUACUGACGCUGAGGCACGAAAGCGUGGGGAGCAAACAGG